rnacentral:misc_RNA from 1 species
UCCGAGUUGACCCCGGCAGUCUCUUAUGAGUCCCCACCAUCACGUGAUGGCAACUAAGGACAAGGGUUGCGCUCGUUGCGGGACUUAACCCAACAUCUCACGACACGAGCUGACGACAGCCAUGCACCACCUGUGAAGGUGUCCCGGAGGAAAACCGUGUUUCCACGGCGGUCACCUACAUGUCAAGCCCAGGUAAGGUUCUUCGCGUUGCGUCGAAUUAAACCACAUGCUCCACCGCUUGUGUGAGCCCCCGUCAAUUCCUUUGAGUUUUAGCCUUGCGACCGUACUUCCCAGGCGGUCGACUUAGCACUUUUGCUUCGACCGUGAUACCGUCAGAGGUACCACGAUCUAGUCGACAUCGUUUACGGCCAGGACUA